UAAAACUUAUCAAAUUUCGAGAUGGAUGGAGCAUUGAAUAAAAAUAAAUUAGCGAAGGAAUAACAUUGGGUAGCCUCCAAAACCCACCCGCCCAUGGGGGGUGCGGUGCCACGGUCGCCAUGACGACGGACGGCGACGCGCGCGACGACCCACCCAACCCCAAGCUUCCAUCUCCGCUAUAUAUCGCCGCCUCCCCCUCCUCGUCUCGCCCAAGAACGCGACCGUCUCUCUCUCCUCGUCCUUCCUCUCUCUCUCUCACCGUCGACGAGCGAACGAUCCAGCAAGGUAGCUAGCUAGCUAGCCAGCCAGGCGCGUCGAUCGACGACGACGACGAUGGUGGUGGUGGUGGCGCAGAUCGCGGUGGCGUCUGCGGGCCUCGGGAUGCUGGCCGGCGUGGCGAUGGCGAACAGGUCCAUGGGAGGGGCCAGCGAGAGCGGGGGGAGGAGGCUGACCUCCGGCUCCGGGUCGAUGUCGUCGUCGUCCGCGGCGGCGGCGCUGCGGUGGACGGCGCCUCCGCCGUGCGCGGCGUGCGGGNNN
rnacentral:lncRNA from 1 species